AGUGAACGCUGGCGGUAGGCCUAACACAUGCAAGUCGAACGGCAGCACAGUAAGAGCUUGCUCUUACGGGUGGCGAGUGGCGGACGGGUGAGGAAUACAUCGGAAUCUACUUUUUCGUGGGGGAUAACGUAGGGAAACUUACGCUAAUACCGCAUACGACAUACGGGUGAAAGCAGGGGAUCUUCGGACCUUGCGCGAUUGAAUGAGCCGAUGUCGGAUUAGCUAGUUGGCGGGGUAAAGGCCCACCAAGGCGACGAUCCGUAGCUGGUCUGAGAGGAUGAUCAGCCACACUGGAACUGAGACACGGUCCAGACUCCUACGAGAGGCAGCAGUGGGGAAUAUUGGACAAUGGGCGCAAGCCUGAUCCAGCCAUACCGCGUGGGUGAAGAAGGCCUUCGGGUUGUAAAGCCCUUUUGCUGGGAAAGAAAAGCAGCAGGUUAAUACCCCGCUGUUCUGACGGUACCCAAAGAAUAAGCACCGGCUAACUUCGUG
rnacentral:rRNA from 1 species